rnacentral:lncRNA from 1 species
GUUCAGGAUGCCAGGGAUGAUGGGAAGCCUGUUCUUGUUUAUCGGUUUGUACGGAACUUCACCCGCGGUAGAGUACGGCCUGAGAAUUUUGUUCCAGCACCGGUGUGAGGAAAACAUCUGAGCCCAUGAAUUGCCAGACCCUGGAUACCUGAGACACAUCCACUUGCUUCUCAGGUUUGGAGUGCAUAAUGAGGAGAAAUAAAAACAGAAAGAUCUCCAGAAAGAAGCCAUGGUAAGAUUCAAGGUUUCACAGUCCAAGCUAAUGCCUGUGGACACUUGACCAAGUGAUCUGAGAAAAUUGGAUUUCUGGCAAAACAAGUGUACCUAGACUCAGGCAAGGGUGGAGAACAGAGGGCGACUAGAUUAAAUGGAAAGAAUGCCCAGGCAUCCCAUUGCCUCCCUUUGACGUUCCAGAACUUCAUCAAGACAGUGAUGAGCUACAUGUACACCUGGAGGAGGACCAUGCAGAAUACCAUCCAGCGCCAUGAACACUAGUCAGUCAGUCAGUAAUGGUGGGCUUCUUGGUGUGCUCCAGCUCAAUUUUCUCAUGUUUGAUGAUUAGUUCAGGAUCAAGCUCAGAAGCGCACAGCUGCCAGCAAGCAGUCUACUACUGAACUGCACCAUCUCUCCAGCCUGUGCUUACUCUUGAAUAGCCCCAAAGUAGUCAAUGGUGUGGGCCCUGAAAGGAACUGUAUACCUGCUCUGCCCAUGACUGCUUCUGCCUCUACCUCAAUGUACUGUAACUGUUUAACAAGGUUGCUCUGGCUCAGGCUGAGAAAUUGACUCCACCCUUACCCUGACGCCUGGCAUGUCCACAUGUGGUCCUGUGUAGUCAGCAACCCCAGGGCUAUUUGGUACUGGACAACCAAUUGGAGUGUUGUUUGCGGGGGAGGACCACCUCUCCAGGUAGAAUCUAAACAUCAGAAAAUCAACAACCCAGUUAAAAUAAUCUAGAGCACUAACCAGAGCGUUCUCAGAAGAAGCACUACAAACGGCUAAGAAACACGAGACUGCUCAACAUCCUUUGCCAUCAGGGAAACACAGAAGCUCACUUUUCAGUUUUCAUCUUUCUGGAGUCAGAAUGGUUAUCGUCAAGAAUGCCAGUGACAUGGAUGUAGAGGACGGAUUCCUUCAUUGUCUAAGUCUCUGGAAAUAGUGCAGAAGAGUAGUCAGGGACUAAAAGAUGGAAGACAGAAAGGGCUGCAAAGUUCCAUCCUAGAGACUCAAUACAGCCAUUGCAAUGAUGAACUCACAAAAACUGCAUUUACCUGAACUUAGCCUGCUCAAGACAUUGAAAGUGUUUCAAAGUAGCUUUUCCUGUUGUGAAUGUACCUCUCAGCUAGUCUGGUUUCUGGUUCAGAGCUCUUAGGCACAGAGUUGUCUUGAACAUUUGCUUACAGGCACUUGUGUAGAUAUCAGCUGCUUUUUUUUGUUAAAUCUCUGAAAUAAAUGCCUAGGCGUUCAAUGGCAAUGUUAUAUCAGUAUGUAUUUAGCUUAGUUUUAAAAUAAGAAACUGUCAAAUACUUUUGUAGAAUUACUGGACCAUUUUACACCCCUGCCAACAAAGUAAGAUUGAUCCAGCUCCCCACAUUCUCAUAAACAUUUGUUUUUGUUUCUUUAAGAAGACAAGUUAACCAUUCCAUUUAUUGAGAAUUUACUUACCAUUCAGUGCAUUGCUUAGAUAUGUAGUAUUCAGUUUUUAGUACACAUACAAGGUUGUGUAUCGAUUACUACUAAUUCCAGAACAUUUCCAUUACCAUAGAAAAAGAAACCCAAUAUUCAUUUUCAUCUCUCCUCUAUGGACUUACCUAAUCUAGAUAUACCAAAUAAAUGGAAUUUUUAUAAAAUAUGA